AGUAACGCGUGGAGAACCUGCCGUAUACUGGGGGAUAACACUUAGAAAUAGGUGCUAAUACCGCAUAAGCGCACAGCUUCGCAUGAAGCAGUGUGAAAAACUCCGGUGGUAUACGAUGGAUCCGCGUCUGAUUAGCUUGCUGGCGGGGUAAAGGCCCACCAAGGCGACGAUCAGUAGCCGGCCUGAGAGGGUGAACGGCCACAUUGGGACUGAGACACGGCCCAAACUCCUACGGAAGGCAGCAG
rnacentral:rRNA from 1 species